rnacentral:rRNA from 1 species
GAGUUUGAUCGUGGCUCAGAUUGAACGCUGGCGGCAUGCCUUACACAUGCAAGUCGAACGGCAGCAUGAUCCAGCUUGCUAGAUUGAUGGCGAGUGGCGAACGGGUGAGUAAUACAUCGGAACGUGCCCUGUAGUGGGGGAUAACUAGUCGAAAGAUUAGCUAAUACCGCAUACGACCUGAGGGUGAAAGUGGGGGACCGCAAGGCCUCAUGCUAUAGGAGCGGCCGAUGUCUGAUUAGCUAGUUGGUGGGGUAAAGGCCCACCAAGGCGACGAUCAGUAGCUGGUCUGAGAGGACGAUCAGCCACACUGGGACUGAGACACGGCCCAGACUCCUACGGGAGGCAGCAGUGGGGAAUUUUGGACAAUGGGCGAAAGCCUGAUCCAGCAAUGCCGCGUGUGUGAAGAAGGCCUCGG